UACGUAGGGACCAAGCGUUGUUCGGAUUUACUGGGCGUAAAGGGCGCGUAGGCGGCGUGACAAGUCACUUGUGAAAUCUCCGGGCUUAACUCGGAACGGCCAAGUGAAACUGUCAAGCUAGAGUGCAGAAGGGGCAAUCGGAAUUCUUGGUGUAGCGGUGAAAUGCGUAGAUAUCAAGAGGAACACCUGAGGUGAAGACGGGUUGCUGGGCUGACACUGACGCUGAGGCGCGAAAGCCAGGGGAGCAAACGGG
rnacentral:rRNA from 1 species